AUGGCAUAGAUGAGUGUGCCCAGAAAAUUUGAAAAACAGUUUCAUGGAUUGCUAUCAGAAGGAUCUGUCUACAUUAUUGCAGAUAUUGUAGCUAUUGAUAACAGAAGCAAAUCAUAUGCCUACCACCAUCAGAACUACAUGCUGCAAUUCAAACAUGACACAAAGGUCCAUGCAUUGCACUCAAGAGGAGCAAAUAUACCUAUUGUUUCCUUCAACUUUUGUCCAUUUGAUCAACUGCCAAGAAAAGCAAUUGAUUCAAAACCACUCCUAGGUAAUCUGUGGUUCCUUAUUUUCUCUCCUAACAGUUAUAAUGCUUAUUAGCUUUCUAUACAUAAUUUGUCCGUUCAGAUAUUAUUGGAGUAAUAAGUGAUGUUGGUCCAUACGAUUAUGCUAGCCCAACAUCUCAGAACAAACUUCAGAAGAAAAAAAUCGAAACCUAGAGUAUGUCUUCUUGCAACGAUGCCACUUAAUUUCUUCCUUAAAGACCCUUUUUCUGCAAUUCUAUAAGUAUACCUUGCUUUUCCAGUGAACAAACGCAAGAAGUAGUUUAUGGGGCAAACAUGGAGAAUCAUUUGAUGAAGAAGCAGUACUUAAAAAAUCUCUAGAAGGAAUUGUGAUAGCUAUUUUUGCUGCUAUAACUGCAACUUCAUAGAAGUUUACAGGUGAAUUAUCAAACGAGCUUGCUUUAAGGAAAAAUGAAAGGAUUUAUUUAAAGUUCUGCAACACAGGUGUAUCUUGACCUCAAUAUACCUGAAGUUCAACAGUAUCGCAGCAGGUUCUCCACCUCCCUCAUUGCCAUUUGCCUAAUUUUUUUGUUCGCUGCUACAACAUACUAAUAGCUUAUCAAAAAAAUUUGAAGCUACCAAUGGAAAUUUCUAUCUCUACAAAAGAAUCUCCCUAAAGUCAGACAUCUAUCUCCACUUGAAGCAGCAGGCAAGCUGUAUACCACUGAACAAAUAUCUACCUUGCCAACCACAUCUUUUCAAGUCAGUACUUUCCAAGAUAGUUUGUUUCUAAAACCUCUCUAUCCAAAAUAUAUAUAAUUGGUGCUCCGACCUUUUAUGCCACAAGGGAGGAGCAACAUUCAGUAGUAUUGCAAAAGUGACAUCCAUUAUACCAUCAGACAAAUGAUACUACAAAGCAUGCAAGCGUUGUGGAAAAGGUUACAACAACAUGUCAGAUACCCCAACAUGCGCCUGCCAAUUUCCUGUUCCAUGCCCAAUGUACCAUAGAUCUUCCUAAAUCUAAUCCUUAUAAAUUGUUUUUCUCUUAUUCAUGUCACUAACAAGUCUACAAUCCUUUAGGUAUAAGAUCCCCCUUACACUAAUAGAUAGCUCAGCAAGUUUGGAUGCAGUUGCGUUUAAUAAAAUAGCUGAAGACUUGGUUGAGUGUCAUGCUGAGCAAGUUUCUAUGAACAUGAAAAUAGAUGUUGUGGAUCAUGUGCUUUCCCUAGAUAAAGCCAUUGGUAAAGAAAGGUUAUUCUAUAUAGGAAUGAAUAUUGAUUUAGCUGCCAAGUACCCUAUAAAAUAUGUCCUGAAAAAAAGUUUCCCCGUGGACAAUACCAAAUCGGUUCCUCUAUUAACUGCUUCAAAGGUAACAACUUUUUGAUACUCAUUACCUUCAUAUAUCAUCCUAUUAACUUGACAUGUGAAGCUUUUUCAGUCAGCACAAGAUAACCUUGCACCAACUUCAUUUGUCAUAAAUGAUGAGAGGUUCCUGGCCAUUUAUCAAUUUAAAUUCUGAAAAUAUAUUGACAAAACAUUAAAUACAUAUUUUCUGAUGAGCAUUAUCUAUAUUUUUUUGAGUCCAAGUGCACAGCAGCCAGAGGCCCCCUUCAACAAUACACCUCCAAGUGAUAACCGCACACCUAUCAGCCUAUCACUACAAAGGAAAGUGAAUCCAGACAAUAAAAAUGCAGCAAACAACUAUGAAAAGACAGGCUAAAAUGAAAGUGCAUACAAAGGCAACUUCCACAAUGCUCAUACAGGCAGCUUCCACAAUGCCCAUACAGCCAACUUCCACAGUGCUCCAAACGACAAACAAUCAAGAAUGUUCAACUUCCACACUGCUUUGACACUGCCAGCUGACAACAAUACAUUUUUUUCUUGCUCAACUUCUAUUGUGACCGAGAAUGUUCUCAUACCCAGUACCUUUAUAUUGUAACUGAGAUGUAUACUCGUGCGUACUUUUGGUUCUAUGCAAGCGACUUCAGAGU